CAGACCCACUGGCGGCCUCAGCAGCGCGAUUCGGGCUCCCAGCGCCAGAACGGCAGCAGAUGCCCCAGCCGCUGCCAUUGUAGCCGUCCCGGUUGGUUUACCCGUGCCCAAAAGGGGGCAUCGGCCUCAGACAACUCCCCCUGCCCCGAUUGGCUGGGCUGGGAGAGGAGGAGCAAAUAGAUCGGCCUUUAAGGGAAAGGAUUUUUAAAAUAUCGAUUGUGAGAGGUGGACAUGUUUGAUUGUGUAGUCGGUCCAGACCAAGCUGUUUCCUCAGACGCCACCAAUCCUGAUAGCGUGCAAUCCACCUUGCCAAAUUUGUAUACAGCACCAGAAUGCCAAAAGGAAAAAAUAUAUAUUUCUGCAGAAAAGCAUUUCUACUAUGCUCUUCAGUCUGAUACACUCCAGAGGUAGUUCUAGAGAUAGAAAAGCAUACAGUUGAAAAUUCAAAAGCUCUGUGAUAUCAGUUAAGAAAGCCGAAUCAAAAAUGCUUCCAGGGUCAGAAAGUACUUCUUGACCUUUUCCUUUCUUGAGAAACACAUCGACUUCAUGAUGAAGGCUGAAAAAACGUUUGAGGAUUUUGCCUCUGCUAAGCUGACUAGCUUCUGCAUGGGUUCCUGUCUCCUAAACUGAGUUGUUUCUAGAUGAAGCUAUCAUCUUGUAUUCACACUGCCUUAUUCAAGGGAUUUUAAAGGGAUCCACAUCACAUCUUCAUUUUAUAGCCCUCUUGUGUUUUUUCUUCUUCCCUCUCCUCCUCCUCUAGGGAUUCAGUGGUUGAUCAAGAUCAGAGAGGCCCCUUCAAUGCUUCCCCCUAGAAAAAAACAAGAUGGGGUGAACCUAAAAUCAAUUCUAACCAGUAGGCAUAAAUAACUGUAGCUGUAACAAAUCUCCAUAGCACUUUGAGGACAUUAUCAGAUCUCCUAAAUCAGAUUGCCACAUAAAGCAGUGUCUGCUCAAGACUUGAAACAGAGUGAUCUGCUGAAUCUGAUGUUAGUCAAAAAUCCCAAAAACAUCCAAGGGAAUAGGAGAAAGAAAUAAUCUUUCUUUGAGCAAGUCCACUCUCCCAGGAUUUCUGACAAGUUUGAUUCAUGCCAUAUCCAAUUUUUAACAUUUGAUGGAGGCAAAGGAAGUCUGAGAAGCAGCAGAAACCUCCAAGAGGCCAAAUGCCACUGGCCUUGUCUCUGUUGAGAGGAGCACAUGGUAAGCUACCCAGAGAACUUCAAAUAUUGGGCAGCUCCUUAAAGGUGGAACUUGCAAUCUGAAAAAAAAGUCAUAGCCAAUGCUAAAUGGCUCACUGUGACUGCAGCUUAUUGAACUCUGCAAUGAGUCACAACCACCUCAUGGAAAUCAUGUUGCAUUCAAAUGUUGGAUGCAUGUGAGUUCAUGCUGCAUGUGAAACAGAUCUCUGAAGUAGGAGCUGGCAAUCACUUUCCUGCAAGGUUUAGUUUCACAUACGUUUUACCAGGUAAUAGCCAUUCUGUUUCCAGUGAUAGGAAUCUGCACCAGAACACCUGAAAUGGGACAUUAACACAUUUGUAUUUACAACAAGUACACUCUCUCUGUCACUACUGUUAUUCUAGUUACUGCCAAUAUACCACAGGAAUAUGCACAAAGUAUACAAGGCAUGGUCUCCACUGUUGGAAAAUAAAAUGUCUUCCAAAUAUUUA